rnacentral:rRNA from 1 species
GACGAACGCUGGCGGCGUGCCUAAUACAUGCAGGUAGAACGCACAGUUUAUACCGUAGCUUGCUACACCAUAAACUGUGAGUUGCGAACGGGUGAGUAACGCGUAGGUAACCUGCCUGGUAGCGGGGGAUAACUAUUGGAAACGAUAGCUAAUACCGCAUAAUAUUAAUUAUUGCAUGAUAAUUGAUUGAAAGAUGCAAUUGCAUCACUACCAGAUGGACCUGCGUUGUAUUAGCUAGUAGGUGAGGUAACGGCUCACCUAGGCGACGAUACAUAGCCGACCUGAGAGGGUGAUCGGCCACACUGGGACUGAGACACGGCCCAGACUCCUACGGGAGGCAGCAGUAGGGAAUCUUCGGCAAUGGACGAAAGUCUGACCGAGCAACGCCGCGCGAGUGAAGAAGGUUUUCGGAUCGUAAAGCUCUGUUGUAAGAGAAGAACGGGUGUGAGAGUGGAAAGUUCACACUGUGACGGUAUCUUACCAGAAAGGGACGGCUAACUACGUG